UUUUUUUUUUUGAGACAGAGUCUCGCUCUGUCAACAGGCUGGAGUGUAGUGGCACAAUCUCAGCUCACUGCAACCUCUGACUCUCUGGUUCAAGCAACUCUCCUGCCUCAGCCUCCCGAGUAGCUGGGAUUACAGGCACGUGCCAGCAAACCCAACUAAUUUUUGUAUUUUUAGUAGAAACAGGGUUUCAGGAUGGUCUCAAUCUCCUGACCUCGUGAUCUGCCCACCUCGGCCUCCCAAAGUGCUGGGAUUACAGGUGUGAGCCACCACACUCGGCCUGGUUUCUCUUCUUCUAAGGGCACUAAUCCUGUGAGACAAGGGCCCACGCUCAUGACCUCAUCUAACCCUUAUCACCUCCCAAAGGUCCUACCCCCUAAUACCAUCACACUGGCAGUUAGGGCUCCAGUACAAGAAUCUGGGGGAGACAUAAACAUUCAGUUUAGAACAAUGUCUUUUCAAUCCUGUUGAAAAAAACAACCAAAUGAGUAGGCAAAGAAGUACCUUAUAUGUAAACAAGUCAGGACUUUUCAUAUUUCUGCUAAUACAUUAAGGUCAAUUUAAAAUGUCUGAUAACAAGAGUCAGAAGCAGAGAUAAAUGAAAGUUAGUUACUCUGCAUUUUAGACCCACAUUGAGCUGUCUUUCAAUGACAUUGUGGCACAAAGAACACUGCUUUCUAUUCCUGGUUUUGCCACCAAAAAAGCUGGAACAUUUCCCUGUAAUUCCAUUUAUCUUGAAAAUCACUGGGCUGACCUAGCAGACCUCCAAGGUCCCUUCCAUUCACAAAUUCCACAAAUAACUUCCUACCAACAGAUGCUACACAAAUAAACUACACUGACGAAGGGAAAGCUAACACUAGCAAACAAUGAGAUGCACACAAGACAAGACAUAUAGAGAACUGGAUCAACCACAAAACUGGUGGACGAUGAGCCGGCGGUGGAUAAAAACACACAUUCCCUAACAAUGGACAGAGAGGCAAUGGCGCCGAGGUAGUAUUGUUGAAGAUUUCCUAUUUUAAAUCUUCAAGAUCAAUGGCCCAAUUGUAUAUAUUCAUUCUGAUUAAAUGUGAACGUGAAAACUUCCUCCAGGGGACACAGACAUCUAAAAAGUUCCCAAUGUAUCCAAUUUGUCAUUUGAUAUUUUUACUGACAAGAAAAAUGAGGGACUGAAUAUACAAACAGACCAUGCCUGAUCAUAUGUAUAAAGACAGAACUCAGACCACAACCUGUAGCUGCCCACCCAGGAAACCAAUCCCCUAUCUACAGUCAACAGCCAGGAGGCCAGCCAGGCUAGCCCAUCAGACAGGAAGCCAGACUGCUCUCUCUCCACAACCCAGAAACUAAACCACAACUCUGUCCAUGUGGCCAGGACUUGACUCAAAACUGACAGCUACCCUAAUUUUGGCCCCUGUUUCCAGUUAGGAUCAUUCAGAGAAAGCCAAAUAUGCCCCUAACCAAUCACAUAGGACAACCCACUUCUGCACAGCCGCCUCCAGUCCCCACAACAGCCUCCACUGGGAGCCGUUCUUUUCCAUCCUGAAAUUUCCCCACUCUUCAUCAGCCACUCACUUGCAUGUCAGUCUCUGCCACACGCAAGUAAUGGUGCCGACUCUCUUGCCACAGCAGUUCUGAGAAAAUCACCUCUGCCUGUCUCAUGCGGGCGGCCU
ensembl:lncRNA